rnacentral:lncRNA from 1 species
AUAUAUUUAAGUAUUCUAUUAUAGAUUUUUCUAUCUUUUGUAAUCUUUGUUUUUCUUCUAGUUCUCUAUAUAAAUACCAAUAAUUUAUUCUUAUACUUCUAGUAAAAGGAUGUUUUCUCAUAAAACUUGUAGCCUCCAAUCUAGAUAUUUCUUGAUCUAAGAUGUCUUAAUAGCUUGUAUUCUAAUUUUUUACAUAAAAAUAAUAGAUUAUUUAGUUUCUGACUAUUAUUUAAUUUUAUUUCUUCUAAAUAUUUUGUAUAUUCAAGAUAUAAUACUAAUAACUCUUUUUUAACCUUACGAUAUUCUUUAGUAUUUUUAUGGGGUCUUCUCAUAUAUGUUUAUCCCAUAGGGUUAUUGUAAAAACACUAUUUUUAAAAUAUUUUAUCCGUGCUAUAGUCUCUCUAAUUUCUUGAUUUACGGUAUCUAUCUUUAUAGUAACUUUAUUUUUUUCUUGUCUUACUACUAUCUGAAGUGCUUUUACCGAAAAUUUAUAUAAAUAUGUUGAAGAUAAUCGUAAUUCUAAAGUAGCUAGAUUAUUUUCUAGUGAUUUUUAUAUGAUUUUAAUAGUUUUAAAUAUUAUCUUAUUCCAAACAUAUAUGUCAUGGUUCCUUACUUCGACAGGGUACAAAUAUCUAAAUUUGAUAUUUUAGAUACUUUUUCAGACCUAUUGCCAAUACUAAGUAGCAGUCAAAAAUUUGAAUCCAUUUUCCUGAUGUUAUGCAUGGAUCAGGUAUAUCGUGGCGAAUUCUUCAGAAAAAAUUGUGUCUUCCACAAUGGAAUCUGAUAAGUGAGAUCUCGAGUAAGUGUUUACAUAAUCUUCUUCUGUCCGAAGAAAUGAUUCAUCGAAAUAAUGAGUCACCAUUGAUAUCGACACAUCUGAGAUCACCAAAUGCUCGGGAGUUCCUCUAUUCAAUCUUUUUCCUUCUUCUUGUUGCCGGAUAUCUCAUUUGUACACAGCUUCUCUUUGUUUCCCGGGCCUCUAUUGAGUUACAGACAGAGUUCGAAGGGUAAAAUCUUUGAUGACUCCAUCAUCUAUGAUUGAGUUGCGAAAACUUCUGGAUAAGUAUCCUACAUCUGAACCAAAUUCUUUCUUGUUAAAGAAUCUCUUUCUAGUUGCUUUGGAACAAUUAGGAGAUUCUCUAGAAGAAAUACGGGGUUCUGCUUCUGGCGGCAACAUGCUUGGUCCCGCUUAUGGGGUGAAAUCAAUACGUUCUAAGAAGAAAGAUUGGAAUAUCAAUCUCAUCGAGAUCAUCGAUCUCAUACCAAAUCCCAUCAAUCGAAUCACUUUUUUGAGAAAUACGAGACAUUUAAGUCAUACAAGUAAAGAGAUCUAUUCAUUGAUAAGAAAAAGAAAAAACGUGAACGGGGAUUGGAUUGAUCAGAAAAUAGAAUCCUGGGUCGCGAACAGUGAUUCGAUUAAUGAUGAAGAAAGAGAAUUCUUGGUUCAGUUCUCCACCUUAACGACAGAAAAUAGGAUUGAUCAAAUUCUAUUGAGUCUGACUCAUAUUGAUCAUUUAUCAAAUAAUGACUCUGGUUAUCAAAUGAUUGAACAACCGGGAGCAAUUUACUUACGAUACUUAGUUGACAUUCAUAAAAAGCAUCUAAUGAAUUAUGAGUUCAAUCCAUCCUUUUUAGCAGAAAGACGGAUAUUCCUUGCUCAUUAUCAGACAAUCACUUAUUCACAAACUUCGUGUGGGGAAAAUAGUUUUCAUUUCCCAUCUCAUGGAAAACCCUUUUCGCUCCGCUUAGCCUUAUCCCCCCUCUAGGGGUAUUUUAGUGAUAGGUUCUAUAGGAACUGGACGAUCCUAUUUGGUCAAAUACCUAGCGACAAACUCCUAUGUUCCUUUCAUUACGGUAUUUCUGAACAAGUUCCUGGAUAACAAGUCUAAAUGUUUCUUCUUGAUGAGAUCGAUAUUGAUGAUAGUGACGAUAUUGAUGAUAGUGACAAUCUUGAUGCUAGUGACGAUAUCGAUUGUGACCUUGAUACGGAGCUGGAACUGCUAACUAGGAUGAAUGGGCUAACUGUGGAUAUGAUGCUGGAAAUAGACCUAUUUUAUAUCACCCUUCAAUUCGAAUUAGCAAAAGCAAUGUCUCCUUUCAUAAUAUGGAUUCCAAACAUUCAUGAUCUGAAUGUGAAUUAGUCGAAUGACUUAUCCCUCGGUCUAUUAGUGAACCAUCUCUCCAAGGAUUGUGAAAGAUGUUCUACUAGAAAUAUUCUUGUUAUUGCUUCGACUCAUAUUCCCCAAAGAGUGGAUCCCGCUCUAAUAGCUCCGAAUAAAUUAAAUACGUGCAUUAAGAUACGAAGGCUUCUUAUUCCACAACAAUGAAAGCACUUUUUCACUCUUUCAUAUACUAGGGGAUUUCACUUGGAAAAGAAAAUGUUCCAUACUAACGGAUUCGGGUCCAUAACCAUGGGUUCCAAUGCACGAGAUCUUGUAGCACUUACCAAUGAGGUCCUAUCGAUUAGUAUUACACAAAAGAAAUCAAUUAAACACGCUAA